rnacentral:rRNA from 1 species
UGGCUCAGAUUGAACGCGGGCGCCAGCUUUAACACAUGCAGGUCGAGCGGUAGCAGGGAGAAAGCUUGCUUUCUCCGCUGACGAGCGGCGGACGGGUGAGUAAUGUCUGGGGAUCUGCCUGAUGGAGGGGGAUAACUACUGGAAACGGUAGCUAAUACCGCAUAACGUCGCAAGACCAAAGUGGGGGACCUUCGGGCCUCAUGCCAUCAGAUGAACCCAGAUGGGAUUAGCUAGUAGGUGAGGUAAUGGCUCACCUAGGCGACGAUCCCUAGCUGGUCUGAGAGGAUGACCAGCCACACUGGAACUGAGACACGGUCCAGACUCCUACGGGAGGCAGCAGUGGGGAAUAUUGCACAAUGGGCGCAAGCCUGAUGCAGCCAUGCCGCGUGUAUGAAGAAGGCCUUCGGGUUGUAAAGUACUUUCAGUAGGGAGGAAGGUGUGCGUGUUAAUAGCACGUACAAUUGACGUUACCUACAGAAGAAGCACCGGCUAACUCCGUGCCAGCAGCCGCGGUAAUACGGAGGGUGCAAGCGUUAAUCGGAAUUACUGGGCGUAAAGCGCACGCAGGCGGUUUGUUAAGUUGGAUGUGAAAUCCCCGGGCUUAACCUGGGAACUGCAUCCAAGACUGGCAAGCUAGAGUCUCGUAGAGGGAGGUAGAAUUCCAGGUGUAGCGGUGAAAUGCGUAGAGAUCUGGAGGAAUACCGGUGGCGAAGGCGGCCUCCUGGACGAAGACUGACGCUCAGGUGCGAAAGCGUGGGGAGCAAACAGGAGUAGAUACCCUGGUAGUCCACGCUGUAAACGAUGUCGAUGAGGAGGUUGUGCCCUUGAGGCGUGGCUUCCGAAGCUAACGCGUGAAAUCGACCGCCUGUGGAG